rnacentral:rRNA from 1 species
CCUACGGGUGGCAGCAGUGAGGAAUAUUGGUCAAUGGCCGGAAGGCUGAACCAGCCAAGUAGCGUGAGGGACGACUGCCCUAUGGGUUGUAAACCUCUUUUAUAGGGGAGGAAUAAAUCCUAAGUGUAGCAUGAUGCCUGUACCUUAUGAAUACGCAUCGGCUAACUCCGUGCCAGCCGACGCGGUACUACGGAGGAUGCGAGCGUUAUCCGGAUUUAUUGGGUUUAAAGGUUGCGUAGGCUGUUUUUUAAGUUAGGGGUUAAACGGCGGGGCUUCACCUUGAUUUGCCAUUAAUAAUGUAAGACUCGAGUUCAGACGAGGUAGGCGGAAUAAGUUAAGGAGCGGUGAAAUGCUUAGAUAUAACUUAGAACACCGAUAGCGAAGGCAGCUUACCAGACUGCGACUGACGCUGAAGCACGAGAGCGUGGGUAGCGAACAGGAUUAGAUACCCGUGUAGUC